CAAGUCGAGGGGCAGCGGGUGGAGUAUUUCGGUACUCCUGCCGGCGACCGGCGCACGGGUGCGUAACGCGUAUGCAACCUACCUUUAACAGGGGGAUAAUCCGAAGAAAUUUGGUCUAAUACCCCAUAAUAUCAUUUAAGGCAUCUUAGAUGGUUGAAAAUUCCGAUGGUUAGAGAUGGGCAUGCGUUGUAUUAGCUAGUUGGUGAGGUAACGGCUCACCAAGGCUACGAUACAUAGGGGGACUGAGAGGUUUUCCCCCACACUGGUACUGAGACACGGACCAGACUCC
rnacentral:rRNA from 1 species